rnacentral:rRNA from 1 species
AGCAGCCGCGGUAAUUCCAGCUCCAAUAGCGUAUAUUAAAGUUGUUGCAGUUAAAAAGCUCGUAGUUGAAUUUCGAGACCGGCUCACUGGUCGUGCUUUUGUACGUACUGGUAUAAUCGGUUUCUCCUUUCUGACGAACUUUAAUGCCAUUAAUUUGGUGUUUUAGGGAAUCAGGACUGUUACUUUGAAAAAAUUAGAGUGUUUAAAGCAGGCUCACGCUUGAAUACAUUAGCAUGGAAUAACGGAAUAGGACGUUUGAUUCUAUUUUGUUGGUUUCUAGGAUCGACGUAAUGAUUAAUAGGGAUAGUUGGGGGCAUUAGUAUUCAAUUGUCAGAGGUGAAAUUCUUGGAUUUAUUGAAGACUAACUACUGCGAAAGCAUUUGCCAAGGAUGUUUUCAUUAAUCAAGAACGAAAGUUAGGGGAUCGAAGACGAUCAGAUACCGUCGUAGUCUUAACCAUAAACUAUGCCGACUAGGGAUCGGAUGAUGUUAAUUUUUUAAUGACUCAUUCGGCGCCUUAC